GAUGAACGCUGGCGGCGUGCCUAGUACAUGCAAGUCGAGCGAACGGACGAGAAGCUUGCUUCUCUGAUGUUAGCGGCGGACGGGUGAGUAACACGUGGAUAACCUACCUAUAAGACUGGGAUAACUUCGGGAAACCGGAGCUAAUACCGGAUAAUAUUUUGAACCGCAUGGUUCAAAAGUAAAAGACGGUCUUGCUGUCACUUAUAGAUGGAUCCGCGCUGCAUUAGCUAGUUGGUAAGGUAACGGCUUACCAAGGCAACGAUGCAUAGCCGACCUGAGAGGGUGAUCGGCCACACUGGAACUGAGACACGGUCCAGACUCCUACGGGAGGCAGCAGUAGGGAAUCUUCCGCAAUGGGCGAAAGCCUGACAGAGCAACGCCGCGUGAGUGAUGAAGGUCUUCGGAUCGUAAAACUCUGUUAUUAGGGAAGAACAUAUGUGUAAGUAACUGUGCACAUCUUGACGGUACCUAAUCAGAAAGCCACGGCUAACUACGUG
rnacentral:rRNA from 1 species